UUCACCUAAUCAGAAGAAAAGGUUUCGUUGGGAGAAGAAGAGUUAUACAGAAUUCAUUCUUCAACAACUCUUCUUUUUCUCUCUACUAAUCGAAUUUAGAGAGAGAGAGAGAGAGAGAUUUCAGAAAAACCAGACACCAAGAAAAAUAAAAUUCAUCCUUCUUUGAUCAAUCGAUAGGCGUUUGGUGAAAGACACGAGAAACACUCUCUUUUUUUCUGAUCUUGCAAGUUCCACGGGCAGCGGAAGUUACGGGAUGGAACACGACGAAACGGGAUGCCAACCUCAUCCAGAAGGCCCUGUUUUGUGUGUCAACAACUGUGGCUUCUUUGGGAGUGCUGCUAACAUGAACAUGUGCUCCAAAUGUUACAAGGACCUGAUGUUGAAACAAGAACAAGCUAAGCUUGCUGCAUCAUCGAUCGAGAACAUUGUCAAUGGAUCAUCAAGUGGCAGUGAGAAGGAAUCUACUGCUGCAGAAGCUGGAAAUGCACAAACCGA